UACGUAUGGUCCGAGCGUUGUCCGGAAUCAUUGGGCGUAAAGGGUACGUAGGCGGUCUAGUAAGUUAGAAGUGAAAGGCAUGAGCUCAACUAGUGUAAGCUUUUAAAACUGCUAGACUUGAGAGAUUGAGGGGAAGGUGGAAUUCCAAGUGUAGCGGUGAAAUGCGCAGAUAUUAGGAGGAAUACCAGUGGCGAAGGCGACUUUCUGGGAAUAAACUGACGCUGAGGUACGAAAGCGUGGGGAGCAAACAGG
rnacentral:rRNA from 1 species